UACAGAGGUCUCAAGCGUUGUUCGGAUUCAUUGGGCGUAAAGGGUGCGUAGGCGGCGCGGUAAGUCGGGUGUGAAAUCAUUGGAGCUUAACUCCGAAACUGCAUUCGAUACUGCCGUGCUUGAGGACUGGAGAGGAGACUGGAAUUUACGGUGUAGCGGUGAAAUGCGUAGAUAUCGUAAGGAAGACCAGUGGCGAAGGCGGGUCUCUGGACAGUUCCUGACGCUGAGGCACGAAGGCCAGGGGAGCAAACGGG
rnacentral:rRNA from 1 species